rnacentral:rRNA from 1 species
CCUACGGGUGGCAGCAGUGGGGAAUAUUGGACAAUGGGGGAACCCUGAUCCAGCCAUGCCGCGUGUGUGAAGAAGGCCCUCGGGUUGUAAAGCACUUUCAGUGAGGAAGAACGCCUGGUGGUUAAUACCCAUCAGGAAAGACAUCACUCACAGAAGAAGCACCGGCUAACUCCGUGCCAGCAGCCGCGGUAAUACGGAGGGUGCGAGCGUUAAUCGGAAUUACUGGGCGUAAAGCGCGCGUAGGUGGCUUGAUAAGCCGGUUGUGAAAGCCCCGGGCUCAACCUGGGAACGGCAUCCGGAACUGUCAAGCUAGAGUGCAGGAGAGGAAGGUAGAAUUCCCGGUGUAGCGGUGAAAUGCGUAGAGAUCGGGAGGAAUACCAGUGGCGAAGGCGGCCUUCUGGACUGACACUGACACUGAGGUGCGAAAGCGUGGGUAGCAAACAGGAUUAGAUACCCCGGUAGUC